rnacentral:rRNA from 1 species
UACAGAGGUCUCAAGCGUUGUUCGGAUUCAUUGGGCGUAAAGGGUGCGUAGGUGGCGCCGUAAGUCGGGUGUGAAAUCCUGAGGCUUAACCUCAGAACUGCAUUCGAUACUGCGGUGCUUGAGGACUGGAGAGGAGACUGGAAUUCAUGGUGUAGCAGUGAAAUGCGUAGAGAUCAUGAGGAAGACCAGUGGCGAAGGCGGGUCUCUGGGCAGUUCCUGACACUGAGGCACGAAGGCCAGGGGAGCAAACAGG